UACGUAGGUGGCAAGCGUUGUCCGGAUUUACUGGGCGUAAAGGGUGCGUAGGCGGUUGUUUAAGUUUGGUGUGAAAUCUCCCGGCUCAACUGGGAGGGUGCGCCGAAUACUGAAUGACUAGAGUGCGGGAGAGGAGAGUGGAAUUCCUGGUGUAGCGGUGAAAUGCGUAGAUAUCAGGAGGAACACCGGUGGUGUAGACGGCUCUCUAGACCGUAACUGACGCUGAGGCACGAAAGCGUGGGUAGCAAACAGG
rnacentral:rRNA from 1 species